rnacentral:rRNA from 1 species
UACGGAGGUGGCAAGCGUUGCUCGGAAUCACUGGGCGUAAAGGGCGCGUAGGCGGGGAGGUAAGUCGGGGGUGAAAGCCCGAGGCUCAACCCUCGGAACUGCCUUCGAUACUGCGGGUCUCGAGUCCGGGAGAGGUGAGUGGAAUUCCGUAGUGUAGAGGUGAAAUUCGUAGAUAUUCGCAAGAACACCAGUGGCGAAGGCGGCUCACUGGCCCGGUACUGACGCUGAGGUGCGAAAGCGUGGGGAGCAAACAGG